GGUUCCGUAGUGUAGUGGUUAGCACGUGAGGUUUUGAAGCCUCUCCUUGAUUCCUCGAAUCGCGAGUUCGAAUCUCGCCGGAACCU
rfam:Magnaporthe oryzae 70-15 chromosome 2, whole genome shotgun sequence.